rnacentral:rRNA from 1 species
UACGUAGGGUGCAAGCGUUGUCCGGAAUUAUUGGGCGUAAAGAGCUCGUAGGCGGUCUGUCGCGUCGGAUGUGAAAACCCAGGGCUCAACCCUGGGCCUGCAUUCGAUACGGGCAGACUAGAGUUCGGUAGGGGAGACUGGAAUUCCUGGUGUAGCGGUGAAAUGCGUAGAUAUCAGGAGGAACACCGGUGGCGAAGGCGGGUCUCUGGGCCGAUACUGACGCUGAGGAGCGAAAGCGUGGGGAGCGAACAGG